GACGAACGCUGGCGGCGUGCUUAACACAUGCAAGUCGAACGGAAAGGCCCUGCUUUUGUGGGGUGCUCGAGUGGCGAACGGGUGAGUAACACGUGAGUAACCUGCCCUUGACUUUGGGAUAACUUCAGGAAACUGGGGCUAAUACCGGAUAGGAGCUCCUGCUGCAUGGUGGGGGUUGGAAAGUUUCGGCUGUUGGGGAUGGACUCGCGGCUUAUCAGCUUGUUGGUGGGGUAGUGGCUUACCAAGGCUUUGGCGGGUAGCCGGCCUGAGAGGGUGAACAGGCACAUUGCGACUGAGAUACGCCGCAGACUCCAACGGGAGGCAGCAGGGGGGAAUCUGACCCAAUGGGCGGAAGCGUGAUGCAGAAACGCUGCGUGCGGGAUGACGGCCUGUGGGUUGUGAAAAGCUUCCGCCUGUUACGAAGCGUGAGUGACGGUAAUGGAUAAAGAAGCACCGGCUAACUACGUG
rnacentral:rRNA from 1 species